AACGAACGCUGGCGGCAGGCUUAACACAUGCAAGUCGAACGAUGUAGCAAUACAUAGUGGCGCACGGGUGAGUAACGCGUGGGAAUAUACCUUAUAGUGGGGAAUAACGUUGGGAAACUAACGCUAACACCGCAUACGCCCGAGAGGGGAAAGAUUUAUCGCUAUAAGAUUAGCCCGCGUGAGAUUAGGUAGUUGGUGGGGUAAUGGCCUACCAAGCCUACGAUCUCUAGCUGGUCUGAGAGGAUGAUCAGCCACACUGGAACUGAGACACGGUCCAGACUCCUACGGGAGGCAGCAGUGGGGAAUAUUGGACAAUGGAGGAAACUCUGACCCAGCCAUGCCGCGUGAAUGAUGAAGGCCUUAGGGUUGUAAAGUUCUUUCGCCGAUGAAGAUAAUGACGGUAGUCGGAGAAGAAGCCCCGGCUAACUUCGUGCCAGCCGCCGCAGUAA
rnacentral:rRNA from 1 species